GUGCUCUCUUUGGCAGUAGAUAUACUAACAUUGGAAUGAUACAGAGAUUAGCAUGGACCCUGUAAAGGACAACACGCAAACUCAGGAAGCAUUCCAUAUUUUU
rnacentral:snRNA from 1 species